CCUACGGGAGGCUGCAGUGAGGAAUAUUGGUCAAUGGGCGGGAGCCUGAACCAGCCAAGUCGCGUGAGGGAAGACGGUCCUAUGGAUUGUAAACCUCUUUAGGCGGGGAGCAAUGCCGGGCACGCGUGCCCGGAGGGAGAGUACCCGCAGAAUAAGCAUCGGCCAACUCCGUGAAAGCAGCCGCGGUAAUACGGAGGAUGCGAGGGUUAUACGGAUGUAUGGGGUUUAAGGGGUGCGUAGGCGGAUUUUUAAGUCAGCGGUAAAAUGUUCGGGCUCAACCCGGGGCGGACGGUGAAACUGGGCAUCUUGAGUGGGCGAGAAGUAUGCGGAAUGCGUGGUGUAGCAGUGAAAUGCGUAGAUAUCACGCAGAACACCGAUUGCGAAGGCAGCAUACCGGCGCCCGACUGACGCUGAGGCACGAAAGCGUGGGGAGCGAACAGGAUUAGAUACCCUUGUAGUC
rnacentral:rRNA from 1 species